AGUUAGACCUUAACAGGGAGGGGUAGACUGCUUCCGCAAGCUUGGGGGGGCUCCAGGAACGUGGAGAUGAGUUUCAGGUGCAUAAACCCAGGCAUCCUCAUUCCUGUGAUAGGGAGUGUUCUUUCCUGGCUCUGGCUCUGAACUCCAAUAGCCUGCCAGUAUGAAGAGAGAGCUUCAUCUUCUUUGGACGUCUGCUUCCCUUGUGGGAGGAGGUGACUUAUUCUUGCUGUUAAUAACAGGAAGCUCAACUAUUGCGAGAAGAGGGAUACUGGAGAUGAAAUUUUGAUGAUAAAAUUGCAUGGACAGAAGGGCUGCUGAUGGAUGAAGCCCUGCAGGCUGAAGCUGGACAACAUAUUGUAACUUCAAAGGAUUUAUCACCACAACAAUGUGGACCACUCAGAAAAUUCACUGGAACACCUGCAUCUUCCAUGCUCCAUUCCAAGAAAUAGCCAUGACUGUGACAUGGCCUCUACCACCCUCCCAGAAGAUGCUUCAAAACUGAACAUCUGGAAAUCUUCCUGACUGGCUGCCCUCUGGAUUCAGAAACUGCUCCAACCAUUAAUCUUUGUGUUUCUCUCCCUUUGCAUAUCUCUUUCCUUGCAACUUCUAAUCUGAAUUUCUCUCCAUAGCAAUCAACCUAGCCUCCUUUUUUUCUUUUUUCUUUUUUUAAAAAUAUGUACGGAAGUUUCAAGUGGGGGAAAUCUGGAGAGACCCCCAGAGUUGAUUUUAAAGUGAAAACAUUUGAGCUAAAAAAGAUAGAGAAAGAAAUCUUAUCUCAACUCCCCUUAUCUGGCUCAAGCAUAACUUUCAAGCUCUACAGCUGCUAUUAACCUCCUCCCCACCUCCACCCCACUUUAGGCUUCUCCUAUGAAUUCUACUGCCUUAAAGGAAGACUGUUCAUUGCCAUUAGCAUCAAAAAGUCCCACAGAACCUUCCCUGCCUUCCCAGUGAAGUCCUAACUACCACCUCCAUCCCUUUGUUUAGUUUGGUAUAUAAAACUUUUUUAUCCUGUCUGUUAAGUGAGUUAUCUAUCACUGAGUAAUUCUGUGUGAGGGUAUAAAUAAACCUCUUCUCUUCUUUUGUUAA